UUUUAAUUUUCCAAAGACAAUUUUCCUUUGCCAAAUAACUCCCGCCCACAUUAAUAAUUCUUGGCCAUAUUUUCUAUAUAGACUUGGGUUUGCCCCUUGAUGGUUUCCCUUGAGUUUGAAGAACAUUCCUUUGGCCAAUUAGAAGAUAUACAAUUUCCUCGUUUAUUGCGCCCCCUAAUGGCGAAUUUUUCCGAAUUUUUUAUCGAACGACAUUAAGGUUAGCAUCAACAUGUGUGUAAAAUUUGGACUCGAUCCGAUGUCUCAUUUUGGAUUUCUUUGGAUUUUUGCUAUUCCACGUCUAAUUUAGCUAAUAAACCAAUAUUCCAAAUGCUACCGUUUCGUCGUCGAAAGUCGGAUCAAAAAACUGUCUGAGGGUUUCUUUGCGUGUGCGUCUGAAGAUGCCGUGUGCAAAGUUUGGUGUUGAUUGGUCGAGAAAUGUGGGAGGAGUAGCGAAAAAACAGUUUUGCGGUUUUCGCGAUUUUGCGAAAAAAAAUUCUAGACGCAAAUGGGCGUGGCCUAUGCCAAAAGAUGCAGCAGACUCCAGUGAAUCUGUGUGUACAAGGUUUUGAAUGUGGGAGGAUCGGUGUGGGAGUUAUAGCCCCAAACGCGUAUUCCUUGGUAUAGCGCCACCUAGUGACCGGCGUGUCUGGAUUUUGUCGUCUGCGUAGUCCGAAGAGACCUGGAUCUAGUCAUGCAAUUGGCG
ensembl:lncRNA